rnacentral:rRNA from 1 species
CUCCGAUGCACAGACGGUAGAGAUUCCGUCACCACCAAAAGAGUUAAACACAGGGACACAUUUGAAGUCUCGGAGCCGGGUGUUGGUUCCGGUAGCGAUCGAGGGAAAUUAGUACCGAAGUCCGGGAUGGAAGAUGGCGAGAAAAGCUGUGUGUAUUUCUGCGGUGCCCGUACCGCAAACCGACACAGGUAGGUAGGAAGAAGAUUCUAAGGCCAACGGGAGAAGGGUUGUUAAGGAACUCGGCAGAUUGACCCCGUAACUUCGGGAGAAGGGGUGCUCCAGAGAUGGAGCCGCAGAGAAUCGGCCCAAGCAACUGUUUACCAAAAACACAGGUUUGUGCUAAAUCGAAAGAUGACGUAUACGAGCUGACGCCUGCCCGGUGCUGGAAGGUUAAGAGGAGAUGUGCAAGCAUUGAAUCGAAGCCCCAGUGAACGGCGGCCGUAACGAUAACGGUCCUAAGGUAGCGAAAUUCCUUGUCAGGUAAGUUCUGACCCGCAUGAAAGGCGUAAUGAUUUGGGCACUGUCUCGACAGCCCGCCCGGCGAAAUUGUAGUACCGGUGAAGAUGCCGGUUACCCGCGACAAGACGGAAAGACCCCAUGGAGCUUUACUGUAGCCUAAUAUUGGGUUUCGAUGUUGCAUGCACAGGAUAGAUGGGACACUGGGAAGCAAGUGCUUUGGCAUUUGUGGAGUGGCCGUUGGGAUACCAUCCUUGCGAUAUUGGAAUUCUAACCUGCGCCUUUGAAUCAAGGCGGGGGACAUUGUUAGGUGGGCAGUUUGACUGGGGCGGUCGCCUCCUAAAGAGUAACGGAGGCGUUCAAAGGUUCGCUCAGCUUGAACGGAAAUCAAGCAAAAGAGUGCAAACGCAGAAGCGAGCCUAACUGCGAGACUGACGGGUCGAGCAGUAACGAAAGUUGGAGUUAGUGAUCCGGUGGUAUGUGAGUGGAAAUGCCAUCGCUCAACGGAUAAAAGUUACCCUGGGGAUAACAGGCUGAUCUCCCCCAAGAGUCCACAUCGACGGGGAGGUUUGGCACCUCGAUGUCGGCUCAUCGCAUCCUGGGGCUGUAUUCGGUCCCAAGGGUUUGGCUGUUCGCCAAUUAAAGCGGUACGCGAGCUGGGUUCAGAACGUCGUGAGACAGUUCGGUCCCUAUCUGUCGUGGGCGCAGGAUAUUUGAUGGGAGCUGUUCCUAGUACGAGAGGACCGGAGCGGACGUACCUCUGGCGCACCAGUUGUUCUGCCAAGGGCAUAGCUGGGCAACUAUGUACGGAUCGGAUAAACGCUGAAAGCAUCUAAGCGUGAAGCCGACCCGAAGAUAAGAUAUCCCAUUGUUUCAAACAAGUAAGACCCCUUGAAGACUACAAGGUUGAUAGGCAUGAUGUGUAAGUGGAGUGAUCCAUUCAGCAAGCGUGUACUAAUAGGUCGAGGGCUUGAUC